rnacentral:tRNA from 1 species
GCGGGUAUAGCUCAACGUUAGAGCUACAGGACUUGUCCUGUGUAAGUGGUUGGUUCAAGUCCACCUACCCGCUCCA